ensembl:lncRNA
GGCCAUUGUGCGAGCACAGAGGGAGAACACUGAGUGGAAGAUGGGGGCCGGGAAUGUGCUUGGCAGGCUGUACAAUGGGAACAAGGUUGUCAGUCUCAAAUGAUGCUUUCAUAAUCAACACAUUGGAGCCGGGUUGCUGCACAGAAUGAGAAUAUCAGCGGUGAUAAAGAUGAGGCAUCGGAGGGCAGGAUGCAAAAGUCGUGAGGUGGCAGUUCAUGAAGAACAAAACAGCACCGGGGAAAAUAGAGGAUGAGCUCCAAUGCGCUGGGCUUCCUGACCUGGAGACCUGCUGCCUGUGUGUUGUCCAAGAAAACCUUCGCGGUCGUCAUUCUUGGAAGAGAAUGUGUAAGACUUGGGAGACAGCGGGAAGAUAAAACUGUCACAGAUGUCAAUGAAGAACUGCAUCGCUGGGUGGGAGAAGAAUUGCUGACACUUUAGGGUCAGUUUGCGUUUUAGGCAACUUCAAAACCACUGCUGUGAAAAACCUGUGGACGCCGCGCAGCACUCAAGCUUCACCCAACGCCUUUUCUCCAGAGUGCAGCGGAUGCUGGCGGAGAUAAAAACAGUGCAACCAAACACUGCAAUUUUGCUGAAAGUAUGUAUUUAGUAAGAAGAAUGUGUUUUGAGGGAAAAGAAAACAUGGACCUCCCCUCCCCCCCCUAAAAGUAGACAAAGGAAUACAUAAUUCUACAAUAUUAUGCAUUCUACAAUAAUUCACGUUUCAUUAAUGCACAUGAGUAAUUCAGCUUCUUUCCGGGAGUUUUUUUUGUGCUUUCUCCCCUGGCAGGUCUCCGUUGAUCGUAGUUCCUUCUGGACCCUGGUCCUGACACCUGCCGUGGCCAUGCUGACGCCUGCUGCUGCCAUCAUCAUCAUCAUUAUUAUUAUUUUAGAUAUUAAUCAUAUUACUGUACUCAUAAACCGACAUUACCCUCUCCUAAAGUCUCUG